GUUUUUUAUUUCUGACAAUUAUCUGUCAAAAAUGAAAAUUUUCCCGUAAAUGAUACACGCCCCGGAUCGAUCAGGACCCUACCAUGAAACAUAUCAAAGAAGCAUGAUUAAACAAUAAAAAUGCCUAAAUCCAAAUCCAGAGAAGUUAAAAUUGUCCACUCAGAUAAACGUAUAGCUAAACUAGAUGACGAAUCAUUAAGAAAUUUAACAGACUCUGAUGGGCCCUGCAAUGAAUGCAUCUGCAAUUUAAUAGACCCUCCGAAACCACCUUUUGACUUACGAAAUGCUAUACGAAGUGCCAUCGACACAUUACAAAUGUACACAGACUCAACUGCAAAGGCCCUAGGGAUUACCUCAUCUACUAAUCUAGCAGGGCCCAGUGAAAAGGGCAAGGAAAAAGAAAAAGCUAAAGGAGGGAAAAAGAAAUAAUCUUCAUCACGAUGACGUUGGAACAAUUGAAACAACUAGAAACUAAAUCUUUAAAGGGCCUCAAAGAGAACGUUUCGGGGCCCUGCGAUGAAUGCAUUUGUGCUAUAUUAACCACUCCAGCGGAUGUUUUGACACGUGGGAAUUGUUUCAAAAGAUUUUUCUCGUGCUUUAUAAAAACUAAGAAAGCGAAAAGUAUGAAAUCCAUAAAUAGUGGAGUUAAAAAGAAAAAACCGGUGAAGAGUAAACGAUAUACAUCGAAACCGGUUAAAAAAACGAAAGGUAAUCGAUUUAAAAUAACAAGAUGUUGAUUUGACUAAUAAAAUAUGAUUAUUCA